GACGAACGCUGGCGGCGUGGAUUAGGCAUGCAAGUCGAACGGUAUCAUCCUUUCGGGGGUGAGAGAGUGGCGAACUGGUGAGUAACACGUAGGUUAUCUACCCUCAAGACGGGGACAACCCAGGGAAACUUGGGCUAAUACCGGAUGAAAGCAGCAGUGAUGUUGUUUGAAAGGUGGCGUAAGCUGCCGUUUGGGGAUGAGCCUGCGCUCUAUUAGUUAGUUGGCGGGGUAAAGGCCCACCAAGGCGAUGAUAGAUAGGCGGCCUUAACGGGUGGUCGCCCACACUGGGAUUGAGAUACGGCCCAGACUCCUACGGGAGGCAGCAGUCGAGAAUAGUCUACAAUGGCCGAAAGGCUGAUAGUGCGACGCCGCGUGAACGAAGAAGCCCUUCGGGGUGUAAAGUUCUUUUAUAUGUGAGCAGUGCUUUCUAUGUGAACAGCAUGGGGAGAGAGAUAUUAGCAUAUGAAUAAGCAACGGCUAACUCCGUGCCAGCAGCCG
rnacentral:rRNA from 1 species